rnacentral:misc_RNA from 1 species
GUGAAUUAGAGCGUCUCUUCGGAGAGCUCAACCUUCAUUUUCCAACUCUGUGCACUAUUGGCGGAUUAGUAAGCGAUUAUUAGUCCGCGGCUCAUUUUAAACAUUAGUUAUUGUAUGUAAAUAAAAAUAAAAUAAGAA